rnacentral:lncRNA from 1 species
UCUGACUUCUAAUAUGCUGGCGCACAUUAAAUUCACUAUACUCUAAUAGUACAAUUAAAAAGAAUUCUUACACUAUCACAGUAUAUAACUUAAAUCGGUACCAUAUAUACCUCCCCUAUCUUCUUAGGCGUGUGAUAUAUCAUAGUUAGUUUGAGCCAAACUAGGUAUGCCUAACAUAUUAACGUCUGAUGUUAGUCAAGGUUUUGAAUCAAAUUCUUAAAUGUUAUUAAUUUACUUUAAAACUCACCUUAUGUAUUAUAUAUAUAGAUAUAAAUACAUGCAUUUGCGUGUAGUCAUGAAAACAAUCUUCAGCCAAUGGCCUUAACCAACCAAGGAUCAAACAAAUUAAGAAUGGAGCUAAUUUCCAAAGAAUUUAUCAAACCUGUUUCUCCCACUCCCAAUCACCUCAAAUCCUAUGAAUAUUCUAUUCUUGAUCAGUUUGCUCCAUCAAAUUACAUCCCUAUACUUCUAUACUAUCAUCCUCUUCCGUCGCUUCACGAAAAUAACCAAAAACUAUUCUAUUCUUGAUCAAUGUGCUCCAUCAAAUUACAUCCCUAUUCUUCUAUACUAUCCUCCUCCUCCUCCAUCACCUCACGAAGACAACGAAAAACCAAAUAAUACUAUGGUUAACUCAUCA